AUAAAUCUGAUGGGUUGUCGCUGGUUCUCUAGGGAGCAUGUGCACACUUGUCAUCUUUAUAUCUCCACCUGUGCACCUUUUGUAGACCUGGAUAUCUUUCUAAAUUAGGUUUGAGGAUUGAUCUCUCUCUACAUUUUCAGGUCUAUGUUUUUUCAUAUACUCCAUGUAUGUUAUAGAAUGUAAUAAAACAGGUCUUUGUGCCUAUAAACUUAUACAACUUUCAGCAACGGAUCUCUUGGCUCUCGCAUCGAUGAAGAACGCAGCGAAAUGCGAUAAGUAAUGUGAAUUGCAGAAUUCAGUGAAUCAUCGAAUCUUUGAACGCACCUUGCGCUCCUUGGUAUUCUGAGGAGCAUGCCUGUUUGAGUGUCAUUAAUAUAUCAACCUCAUCAGCUUUUGCAUGUUGAGUGUUGGAUGUGGGGGGUCAGCUCCCCUAAAAUGCAUUAGCAAAACAAUUUGUUUAUUGUUCAUUGGUGUGAUAACUAUCUACGCUAUUGACGGUAAUGCAGGUUUAGCUUCUAACAGUCCAUUAACUUGGACAAACUUUUAUUAAUGUGACCUCAAAUCAGGUAGGAUUACCCGCUGAACUUAAGCAUAUCAAUAAGCGGAGGAAAAGAAACUAACAAGGAUUCCCCUAGUAACUGCGAGUGAAGCGGGAAAAGCUCAAAUUUAAAAUCUGGCRGUCUUUGGCUGUCCGAGUUGUAAUCUAGAGAAGUGCUAUCCGCGCUGGACCGUGUACAAGUCUCCUGGAAUGGAGCGUCAUAGAGGGUGAGAAUCCCGUCUUUGACACGGACUACCAGGGCUUUGUGAUGUGCUCUCGAAGAGUCGAGUUGUUUGGGAAUGCAGCUCAAAAUGGGUGGUAAAUUCCAUCUAAAGCUAAAUAUUGGCGAGAGACCGAUAGCGAACAAGUACCGUGAGGGAAAGAUGAAAAGAACUUUGGAAAGAGAGUUAAACAGUACGUGAAAUUGCUGAAAGGGAAACGCUUGAAGUCAGUCACGUUGUCCAGGGAUCAACCUUGCUUUUGCUUGGUGCACUUUCUGGUUGACGGGUCAGCAUCAAUUUUGACUAUUGGAAAAAGAUUAGGGGAAUGUGGCAUCUUAGGAUGUGUUAUAGCCCUUGGUUGCAUACAAUGGUUGGGAUUGAGGAACUCAGCACGCCGCAAGGCCGGGUUAAUUUUACCACGUACGUGCUUAGGAUGCUGGCAUAAUGGCUUUAAUCGACCCGUC
rnacentral:rRNA from 1 species